UGAGGUAGCAGACUUCUCUUCUUCUUUCUCUCUAUAAUUUCUCUAUAAUAAUUGCUCUUGUGGGACUUAGUGAAUUAGUGAGAAAUGAAGGAAGAAUGAGCUUCUAUUUAUAGGAAAAUAUAGUUUCAAUAAUUGCACAUUUUGGGGCUCAAAAUAUUACAGUAUAAUACCUUCCUCUUUUUCUUCCUUUUUAAUUUAGUCCUGCAAGUAUUAUCAAACUUGCACCACCUCCCCUAAUAGUAAAUCAUGUGAAUCAAUAGUA
rnacentral:lncRNA from 1 species